GACAUAGCUGGGGAGUCCAGCAGAUCUCAUACCGGGUGAACUUUCAGAUCUACACACAGAGUCAAGAGUCACCUCACAUUUACAGUGCAUUGGUAGGACAUUAGGCUACUUUUGGUCUUUUGUAUUUGUAAACUUUUGUUAUGUAUAUUUUAAACUCAUGUAAUUAUGCUUUUGAUGUAAUUAUUUAUGAACCAUGUUCACUAAUAAUUUGAGUAUUUCUUAUGGAGUUGAGUAUGAUAUGAACUAAUUGAAUGUUUGAAAUAUUGAUAUCAUUUGAGAAAUUAUGGAAAGAUGUUGGUGGUUGACUGAGAUUGAAAUUAUGAUUAUAUUGGAAGUGUUUUUAAC
rnacentral:misc_RNA from 1 species